UGUCACUAGAAUCCUCUUCUUUUG
rnacentral:piRNA from 1 species